GCUGGCGAUGGGGCACUGGUGACACCCAGGAGGCGCCAGCGCGGAUACUUCUCAUCACUGGCCUCUCAAGUUGGCUGGUGGAGAGACUGCUUUUAACAUAUUUGAGACCCCUCUUUCCACGCCUCGAUCCCCACGUCUUUGAGGCGUUCACUCCCAGAUUCUAGCAUCCCACUCCCCCCAGGAUGACAAUUUACAAUAUUCCUUCUCCCCCAGUUGGAAAUAACGUGAGCGUUCUGCAAGUCCCCUGAUGUCUGUCACGUGUCACUGCUAGCUACUCCUGUCCUCGGAGGUGUUAGGACUUGGGGCUGCCUUCUCAGGCAGGUGAGUGCUGGGGACCCAGCCAGUAGAGGGACCUGUGGGGGGCUCCUGGAGGAACAGCCCCUGAGCACCCACUGCCAGUUUUGGGGGGGCCUUGCUGUCUUCCCCACUCUGCUGAUGCCAGGGUCCUCAUCUGUAGCAAUGCUGGGGCUGACUAUCAGUGGGACCCUGGAGGAAAGGUCGGUUAAGUGGUACAUUUUAUUCCUGGAGUCUUUGUGAAAAAGUCAGAGACAUCCCAUUUCAAAGAAAAAAGAGCAACACGAUGGCCCUGGUUAAGAGAUUAGGCAUUCACAUUGGGUAAGAAUCACCAUAUAUAAACUCAUCACAGCUCUCUUGUUUUGCUCUUCACCUGGACCCUAUGAGUUGGGAAAGGCAGAUGCUGUCCCCAGUUUAUAGGGGAAGAGACUGAGGCACAGAAGUACGAUGGAUCCCUCUAUGGACCCACCCUCCCUGGAACAUCAGCCUGUGAUGAUGCAGAGAGAUGUGUGACCUUGACCCCAGGCUGGGGAUUGAUUACUGUUUUAUCUUGGAAUUUGUUCCAGUCCUGCAGGGAAUUUAUAAAACACUUCUUCUCAUGGUCCUCAGAAGUUAACAAUGAGUGACUGAGCCUGACUAUUUUUGAACAAAAGCUCUACUCGGAUCUGAGGACGUCGUACCUUGGUGUAUGUAACAGAGUCCUGGAGCCCACAUCUAGAAAUUCUGAUUGACUGGGUUUGGAGAGAAACCCAGGAAACAGUCUGAGGGAGACGCUGGUGCAGCUGGCGCAGGCAUUGCAGGCUGAGAAGCUUCGGCACGGCGUGAGAACCCGCAUCCUGGGUGCACGGAGGCCGGCCGUCUCGGGCAGACUCAGGCUCCAGCCCAGACCCACUGAGUCAGAACCCGCACGGUCACCAGAGCUACCUGUGACUCCCGCCAGCGCAGCCUGUGACCUGCGCUGCUGAGGGUCCGCCCACCCCCCCAGGCUGUGGAUGGAGCCAGCGAGGCACAGGUCCCCUUAUGGGCUGAUGGUGGUUGUUAGAAGAUAAAGGCCACGCCGUCAGUGGGACUGGAAGGAAUGAUGCUGAAGAUGGAGCAUCCCUGAGCCCAGGCCGUCCUGGGAACAGCGUACCCCGCCGGGAGAGCCGGAGCACCUGGAGUGAGCCUGCUCGGGUCCUGGCACGGCGGCCAUGCAGGUGGCGUGUGACGCAGGGAGAGCGCUGGCCCUUCUGAUCCUGUCUGAGGACGUGGAUGCCGAGAGCCCCUUGCUCUGGAUGGUAUUUUGAACAUCCGUCGUGCACCAAGUGUGACACCUGGAGGAAUUCAAGUGCUCAGGAAGGAGGGUGACCAGAUAAAAUGCAGCACAGCUCCUCCGAUUGAAACUUCAGAACGACAAUCAAUACUUUGUUUUUUUUAAUAUGAGUGGGUCCCUGUAUUUUAUCUGCUAGAUCUAAACCUUCUUGUAAAGGGUCACUGUGACAGCAGCAAGCUUGUGACAGAACUGAGACAUCUGUAAAGACGCAGGGACUGGCUUUUACUUGUCACUGAGCUCUGACUAGUUAAGAUGCCUGGGGGAGAAGAUGUCUUUAAACUUACAGACUGCAGAGUGUGAAAGUUCUGAUUUGAGUCUGUUUCUGUUUUGUAAAUAAGUUCA